CCUACGGGUGGCAGCAGUGAGGAAUAUUGGUCAAUGGGCGCGAGCCUGAACCAGCCAAGUAGCGUGAAGGAUGACUGCCCUACGGGUUGUAAACUUCUUUUGCCGGGGAGCAACGGGCGCCACGUGUGGCGCCACUGAGAGUACCCGGAGUACAAGCAUCGGCUAACUCCGUGCCAGCAGCCGCGGUAAUACGGGGGAUGCGAGCGUUAGCCGGAAUUAUGGGGGUAAAAGGGUGCGUAGGCGGGGCGUUAAGUCAGUGGUAAAAUUGAGGGGCUCAACCCCUUCCCGCCAUUGAAACUGGCGCUCUUGAGUGGAAGAGAAGUAUGCGGAAUGCGUGGUGUAGCGGUGAAAUGCAUAGAUAUCACGCAGAACCCCGAUUGCGAAGGCAGCAUGCCGGCUUCCUACUGACGCUGAAGCACGAAAGCGUGGGGAUCGAACAGGAUUAGAUACCCCUGUAGUC
rnacentral:rRNA from 1 species